GUGGGGAAUAUUCCGCAAUGGACGAAAGUCUGACGGAGCAACGCCGCGUGAGUGAUGAAGGUUUUCGGACUGUAAAGCUCUGUUGUUUAGGACGAAAGUGCCUGUUGCAAAUAGUUACAGGUAUUGACGGUACUGAACGAGGAAGCCACGGCUAACUACGUGCCAGCAGCCGCGGUAAUACGUAGGUGGCAAGCGUUGUCCGGAAUUAUUGGGCGUAAAGAGCAUGUAGGCGGGAAUCUAAGUCUGUUGUGAAAAUGCGGGGCUCAACCCCGUAUUGCGAUGGAUACUGGGUUUCUUGAGUGCAGGAGAGGAAAGGGGAAUUCCCAGUGUAGCGGUGAAAUGCGUAGAUAUUGGGAGGAACACCAGUGGCGAAGGCGCCUUUCUGGACUGUGUCUGACGCUGAGAUGCGAAAGCCAGGGUAGCGAACGGGAUUAGAAACCCCUGUAGUCC
rnacentral:rRNA from 1 species